GAUGAAGAAGAAGAGCUCCCUUUCGAUCCAAUUCAGGAGAGGAAGUGGUAGGAUGCAGCUGCCGGUUCAUGGAUACCUCUGGAGUGCAGGGCAAAUAGUCCUACCCUUUCAUGGGUUUGCAUGACUCGGGAGAUGAACCCGCCAUUGUCUUCCUCUAUUGAUUGGAUUGAAGGGAGCUCCUCUAGCUACAUCU
rnacentral:pre_miRNA from 10 species